CGGGGUGUGGCUCAGUUUGGCUAGAGCGCCUGGUUUGGGACCAGGAGGUCGCAGGUUCGAAUCCUGUCACCCCGA
rfam:Bryantella formatexigens DSM 14469 B_formatexigens-1.0.1_Cont9.1, whole genome shotgun sequence.